UAAUACGUAGGGGCGAGCGUGUCCGGAGUUACUGGGCGUAAAGCGCACGCAGCGGUCUGCUAAGUUUGGGGUGACAGUGUCGGCUUAACCGAGAAAGUGCUCAAAGACUGACAGACUUGAGGGCACAGAGGGACAUGGAACUCCAGGUGUAGUGGUGAAAUGCGUAGAUAUCUGGAAGAACACCAAAGGCGAAGGCAGUGUCCUGGGUGGUACCUGACGCUCAGGUGCGAAAGCUAGGGGAGCGAACGGGAUUAGAUACCCCGGUAGUCCUAGCCGUAAACGAUGACCACUAGAUGUGCGGGGUAUCGACCCCCUGCGUGUCGAAGUUAACGCGAUAAGUGGUCCGCCUGGGGAGUACGGUCGCAAGAUUAAAACUCAAAGGAAUUGACGGGGACCCGCACAAGCAGCGGAGCGUGUGGUUUAAUUCGAUGCAACGCGAAGAACCUUACCAGGGCUUGACAUGGCAUUGCACCAGCCGGAGACGGCUGUCCCUUCGGGGCGGUGCCACAGGUGCUGCAUGGCUGUCGUCAGCUCGUGUCGUGAGAUGUUGGGUUAAGUCCCGCAACGAGCGCAACCCCUAUCGUCGGUUGGAUCUGUCCGACGAGACUGCCACGAUCAACGUGGAGGAAGGUGGGGAUGACGUCAAGUCAGCACGGCCCUUACGUCCUGGGCGACACACACGCUACAAUGGCCGGUACAAUGAGUUGCCAACCCGCGAGGGGGAGCCAAUCUAGAAAAACCGGUCUCAGUUCGGAUUGGAGGCUGCAACCCGCCUCCAUGAAGUGGGAGUUGCUAGUAACCGUGGGUCAGCACACCACGGUGAAUACGUUCCCGGGUCUUGUACACACCGCCCGUCACACCACGAAAGUCGGCAACACCUGAAGCC
rnacentral:rRNA from 1 species